GAUGAACGCUGGCGGUAUGCUUAACACAUGCAAGUCGAACGAAAUCUUCGGUUUAGUGGCGGACGGGUGAGUAACGCGUGAGAAUCUGCCAUCAGGUCUGGGACAACCACUGGAAACGGUGGCUAAUACUGGAUGUGCCGAAAGGUGAAAGGUUAACUGCCUGUUGAUGAGCUCGCGUCUGAUUAGCUAGUAGGUGUGGUAAAGGCGCACCUAGGCGACGAUCAGUAGCUGGUCUGAGAGGACGAUCAGCCACACUGGGACUGAGACACGGCCCAGACUCCUACGGGAGGCAGCAGUGGGGAAUUUUCCGCAAUGGGCGAAAGCCUGACGGAGCAAUACCGCGUGAGGGAGGAAGGCUCUUGGGUCGUAAACCUCUUUUCUCAGGGAAGAACAAAAUGACGGUACCUGAGGAAUAAGCAUCGGCUAACUCCGUGCCAGCAGCCGCGGUAAUACGGAGGAUGCAAGCGUUAUCCGGAAUGAUUGGGCGUAAAGCGUCCGCAGGUGGCGAUGUAAGUCUGCUGUUAAAGAGUCUAGCUCAACUAGAUAAGAGCAGUGGAAACUACAUAGCUAGAGUACGUUCGGGGCAGAGGGAAUUCCUGGUGUAGCGGUGAAAUGCGUAGAGAUCAGGAAGAACACCAGUGGCGAAGGCGCUCUGCUAGGCCGUAACUGACACUGAGGGACGAAAGCUAGGGGAGCGAAUGGGAUUAGAUACCCCAGUAGUCCUAGCCGUAAACGAUGGAUACUAGGCGUGGCUUG
rnacentral:rRNA from 1 species